rnacentral:rRNA from 1 species
CCGAGAUCUACACGUAAGGAGUCGUCGGCAGCGUCAGAUGUGUAUAAGAGACAGAAGCAUGACCGUAAGGACAUGUGGACAGUAUGGGAGUGAGAAUGUUGGCAUGAGUAGCGAGAUGUGGGUGAGAAUCCCACAGGCCGUAAACCCAAGGUUUCCAGGGGAAGGUUCGUCCGCCCUGGGUUAGUCGGGACCUAAGCUGAGGCCGAAAGGCGUAGGUGAUGGACAACAGGUUGAUAUUCCUGUACUACCGAUAACCGUUUGAGAGAAGGGAUGACACAGUAGGAUAAGCUAAGCACACUGUUGGUUAUGUGUGCCCAAGCAUUGAGGCAGUCAAAGUAGGCAAAUCCGCUUUGAUAAUGCUGGGAUGUGAUGGGGAGCGAAAUUUAGUAGCGAAGUAGCUGAUUUCACACUGUCAAGAAAAGUCUCUAUCGAGGUUAAAGGUACCCGUACCGCAAACCGACACAGGUGGGUGAGGAGAGUAUCCUAAGGCCAGCGAGAGAACUGUUGUUAAGGAACUCGGCAAAAUGACCCCGUAACUUAGGGAUAAGGGGUGCCACCAUCAGGUGGCCGCAGAGAAUAGGCCCAAGCGACUGUUUACCAAAAACAUAGGUUUCUGCUAAGUCGCAAGACGAUGUAUAGGAGCUGACGCCUGCCCGGUGCUGGAAGGUUAAGGGGAUCUGUUAGAGCAAUCGAAGCAGUGAACUUAAGCCCCAGUAAACGGCGGCCGUAACUAUAACGGUCCUAAGGUAGCGAAAUUCCUUGUCGGGUAAGUUCCGACCCGCACGAAAGGCGUAACGAUUUGGGCACUGUCUCAACAACAGACUCGGUGAAAUUGUAAUUCCGGUGAAGAUGCCGGAUACCUGCGACAGGACGGAAAGACCCCAUGGAGCUUUACUGUAGCUUGACAUUGGGUCUUGGUACUACAUGUACAGGAUAGGUGGGAGGCUUUGAAACCAGGACGCCAGUUUUGGCGGAGCCAUCCUUGGGAUACCACCCUUGUAGUACUGGGACUCUAACCAUAGGCCAUGAAUCUGGUCUUGGGACACUGUCAGGUGGGCAGUUUGACUGGGGCGGUCGCCUCCCAAAAGGUAACGGAGGCGCUCAAAGGUUCUCUCAGUACGGUCGGAAAUCGUACGUAGAGUGUAAAGGCAAAAGAGAGCUUGAUUGCAAGACAUACAGGUCGAGCAAGGAUGAAAAUCGGACUUAGUGAUCCGGUGGUUCUGCGUGGAAGGGCCAUCGCUCAACGGAUAAAAGCUACCCUGGGGAUAACAGGCUUAUCUCCCCCAAGAGUCCACAUCGACGGGGAGGUUUGGCACCUCGAUGUCGGCUCAUCACAUCCUGGGGCUGUAGUAGGUCCCAAGGGUUGGGCUGUUCGCCCAUUAAAGUGGUACGCGAGCUGGGUUCAGAACGUCGUGAGACAGUUCGGUCCCUAUCCGUCGCAGGCGUAGGAAAUUUGAGAAGACCUGUCCUUAGUACGAGAGGACCGGGAUGGACGUACCUCUGGUGUACCAGUUG